CUUGUCCAGACWCCUGUARYUACGUCCAUGAAGACUGCUGGUGGACUAACAAUCCAGAGAGUGACGAAUGCAAGUUUUCGAGAAAAUGUGGCUGCGAAUAAUGACGUCUGGCUCAGUGGUCACUUAUUUACCUGCAAGAUUAAUAUGUUAUUCUAACCAUAGCUCAAGAUAAUAAACUUAUCUGCUGUUUUAUUCAAAAGUGGGCGCAAACAGGAUCUGUGAAACAAAUAUGAAUAAUAACGACUAUUUAGUGUCAAUAACACAAAGAAAUUGAAAAUAAAGGAAUUAGUAUAAUUUA